UACGUAGGGUGCAAGCGUUUAAUCGGAAUUACUGGGCGUAAAGUGUGCGCAGGCGGCAAAGCAAGUCGAGUGUGAAAGCCCCGGGCUUAACUUGGGAAUUGCGCUCGAAACUACUUUGCUGGAGUGUGGCAGAGGAAGGUGGAAUUCCACGUGUAGCGGUGAAAUGACGUAGAUAUGCGGAGGAACACCGAUGGCGAAGGACAAUCCCCUGGGCCUCG
rnacentral:rRNA from 1 species